UACGGAGGGUGCGAGCGUUGUCCGGAAUCACUGGGCGUAAAGGGCGCGUAGGCGGCCACCGCAAGUCGACUGUGAAAUCUCUGGGCUUAACCCAGAACGGUCAGCCGAUACUGCGGGGCUAGAGUGCAGAAGGGGCAACUGGAAUUCUCGGUGUAGCGGUGAAAUGCGUAGAUAUCGAGAGGAACACCUGCGGCGAAGGCGGGUUGCUGGGCUGACACUGACGCUGAGGCGCGAAAGCUAGGGGAGCGAACGGG
rnacentral:rRNA from 1 species